rnacentral:rRNA from 2 species
UGGGGAAUAUUGGGCAAUGGGGGAAACCCUGACCCAGCAACGCCGCGUGAGGGAAGAAGGUUUUCGGAUCGUAAACCUCUGUCCUUUGUGACGAAGAAGUGACGGUACCAAAGGAGGAAGCCCCGGCUAACUACGUGCCAGCAGCCGCGGUAAUACGUAGGGGGCGAGCGUUGUUCGGAAUUACUGGGCGUAAAGCGUGCGCAGGCGGCCUGUUAAGUCUGGAGUGAAAGUCCUGCUUUCAAGGUGGGAAUUGCUUUGGAAACUGGCGGGCUGGAGUGCAGGAGAGGUUAGCGGAAUUCCCGGUGUAGCGGUGAAAUGCGUAGAGAUCGGGAGGAACACCAGUGGCGAAGGCGGCUAACUGGACUGUAACUGACGCUGAAGCGCGAAAGUGUGGGGAGCAAACAGG